GACAGAGGGGGCAAGCGUUGCUCGGAAUCACUGGGCUUAAAGCGUGUGUAGGCGGAAUUGUAAGUACCUUGUGAAAUCCCACGGCUCAACCGUGGAACUGCGUCCGAUACUGGUGGGCUUGAAUCCGGGAGAGGGAUGCGGAAUUCCAGGUGUAGCGGUGAAAUGCGCAGAUAUCAGGAGGAACACCGGUGGCGAAGGCGGGUCUCUGGGCCGAUACUGACGCUGAGGAGCGAAAGCGUGGGGAGCGAACAGG
rnacentral:rRNA from 1 species